rnacentral:rRNA from 1 species
AUUGAACGCUGGCGGCAUGCCUUACACAUGCAAGUCGAACGGCAGCACGGGAGCAAUCCUGGUGGCGAGUGGCGAACGGGUGAGUAAUGUAUCGGAACGUACCAUUGAGUGGGGGAUAACGUAGCGAAAGUUACGCUAAUACCGCAUAUACCCUGAGGGGGAAAGCAGGGGAUCGCAAGACCUUGUGCUCUUUGAGCGGCCGAUAUCAGAUUAGCUAGUUGGUGAGGUAAAGGCUCACCAAGGCGACGAUCUGUAGCGGGUCUGAGAGGAUGAUCCGCCACACUGGAACUGAGACACGGUCCAGACUCCUACGGGAGGCAGCAGUGGGGAAUUUUGGACAAUGGGGGCAACCCUGAUCCAGCCAUGCCGCGUGAGUGAAGAAGGCCUUCGGGUUGUAAAGCUCUUUCGGCCGGGAGGAAAUCGCAUCAGUUAAUACCUGGUGUGGAUGACAGUACCGGAAUAAGAAGCACCGGCUAACUACGUG